GACGAACGCUGGCGGCGUGCUUAACACAUGCAAGUCGAACGGAAAGGCCCUGCUUUUGUGGGGUGCUCGAGUGGCGAACGGGUGAGUAACACGUGAGUAACCUGCCCUUGACUUUGGGAUAACUUCAGGAAACUGGGGCUAAUACCGGAUAGGAGCUCCUGCUGCAUGGUGGGGGUUGGAAAGUUUCGGCGGUUGGGGAUGGACUCGCGGCUUAUCAGCUUGUUGGUGGGGUAGUGGCUUACCAAGGGUUUGACGGGUAGCCGGCCUGAGAGGGUGACCGGCCACCUUGGGACUGAGAUACGGACCAGACUCCUACGGGAGGCAGCAGUGGGGAAUAUUGCACAAUGGGCGGAAGCCUGAUGCAGCAACGCCGCGUGCGGGAUGACGGCCUUCGGGUUGUAAACCGCUUUCGCCUGUGACGAAGCGUGAGUGACGGUAAUGGGUAAAGAAGCACCGGCUAACUACGUG
rnacentral:rRNA from 1 species